rfam:Schistosoma rodhaini strain Burundi genome assembly, scaffold: SROB_scaffold0014703
CUGACGAGUCCCAAAUAGGACGAAACGCGUGUCCUGGAU